rnacentral:hammerhead_ribozyme from 1 species
GUACUGCUGAAGAGUCCCAAACUAGGACGAAAAGUUGUCCAGUAC